UGCAAGUCGAACGAACUUAACCUAUUCUUAACGAUUAGGAGCGGCUAGUGGCGGACUGGUGAGUAAUGUAUAAGUAACCUGCCUAUCAGAGGGGAACAACAGUUGGAAACGACUGCUAAUACCGCAUAUGCCACGAGAAUCACAUGGUUCAAGUGGGAAAGGAGCAAUCCGCUGAUAGAUGGACUUAUAUCUGAUUAGCUAGUUGGUGGGGUAAUGGCCUACCAAGGCGACGAUCAGUAGCCGGACUGAGAGGUUAAACGGCCACAUUGGGACUGAGAUACGGCCCAGACUCCUACGGGAGGCAGCAGUCGGGAAUAUUGCGCAAUGGAGGAAACUCUGACGCAGUGACGCCGCGUGCAGGAAGAAGGUUUUCGGAUUGUAAACUGCUUUAGACAGGGAAGAAAAAAGACAGUACCUGUAGAAUAAGCUCCGGCUAACUACGUGCCAGCAGCCGCGGUAAUACGUAGGGAGCGAGCGUUAUCCGGAUUUAUUGGGUGUAAAGGGUGCGUAGACGGGAAAUUAAGUUAGUUGUGAAAUCCCACGGCUCAACUGUGGAACUGCAACUAAAACUGAUUUUCUUGAGUACUGGAGAGGAAAGUGGAAUUCCUAGUGUAGCGGUGAAAUGCGUAGAUAUUAGGAGGAACACCAGUGGCGAAGGCGACUUUCUGGACAGAAACUGACGUUGAGGCACGAAAGUGUGGGGAGCAAACAGGAUUAGAUACCCUGGUAGUCCACACCGUAAACGAUGGAUACUAGGUGUAGGGUGUGAUAAACAUUCUGUGCCGUCGCAAACGCAAUAAGUAUCCCACCUGGGGAGUACGGCCGCAAGGUUGAAACUCAAAGGAAUUG
rnacentral:rRNA from 1 species